rnacentral:rRNA from 1 species
AUGCCCUGGAUAGUACUAGGUGAUUUCAAUGAGAUUAAGCUGAAUUCAGAAAAAGAGGGAGGAAACCCCCGCCCAGUGCAUAUGCUUAAGGCUUUUAGAGACUGUUUAGAUGACUGCGAGCUUCAGGAUAUGGACUAUAUUGGGGAUAAAUACACCUGGAGACGCGCUGAUGUUCGUGAACGACUGGAUCGUGCUGUGUGUAAUAGUCAAUGGACUUUAGAUUAUCCCAAUGCUGCAGUCAUCCUUGAGAAGCACUACAGGUCUGACCAUAGGCCUAUUUUG